rnacentral:rRNA from 1 species
GUGCACGCUGGCGGUAGGCCUCACACCUGCCAGUCGCACGGCAGCACAGUAAGAGCUUGCUCUUACGGGUGGCGAGUGGCGGACGGGUGAGGAAUACAUCGGAAUCUACUUUUUCGUGGGGGAUAACGUAGGGAAACUUACGCUAAUACCGCAUACGACCUACGGGUGAAAGCAGGGGAUCUUCGGACCUUGCGCGAUUGAAUGAGCCGAUGUCGGAUUAGCUAGUUGGCGGGGUAAAGGCCCACCAAGGCGACGAUCCGUAGCUGGUCUGAGAGGAUGAUCAGCCACACUGGAACUGAGACACGGUCCAGACUCCUACGGGAGGCAGCAGUGGGGAAUAUUGGACAAUGGGCGCAAGCCUGAUCCAGCCAUACCGCGUGGGUGAAGAAGGCCUUCGGGUUGUAAAGCCCUUUUGUUGGGAAAGAAAAGCAGCAGGUUAAUACCCCGCUGUUCUGACGGUACCCAAAGAAUAAGCACCGGCUAACUUCGUG